UAAGUUAGUAGUGAAAUCGUGUGGCUCAACCAUGCUCACAUUACUAAAACUGCAAAGCUAGAGGAUGAGAGAGGUCGUUGGAAUUCCCAGUGUAGGAGUGAAAUCCGUAGAUAUUGGGAGGAACACCGAUGGCGUAGGCAGACGACUGGCUCAUUCCUGACACUAAGGCACGAAAGCGUGGGUAGCAAACGGGAUUAGAUACCCCGGUAGUCCACGCCGUAAACUAUGGAUGCUA
rnacentral:rRNA from 1 species